ACUGGAGUAAAACUGCUACUAACUAUUACAUAAAGCACUAAUUAAUUCUACCGUCCUAUGCUCUUCACAAACAUCUUUUAAUCACAGAGCUAGCAAAAUAAUACACUUAAAUGUAAGUAAUGAUAGCUGGAAAAAAAACUUAAGUAAUGAUACAUACUUCCGAUUAUCUCAAUACAAAUUACACACCAUACACAUGCUGGUACGAUAUACCAGAUUCUUUGUGCAUUCCCUGCUUGACCAGCAUAGUAGCAAUUCCUUUGAAAAAUAUAUUCUCCUCAUAUUAUGCAUUUCAUUAUCUGUAUCUUUUCCAAAAAAAUGGACAAAGUAAAAUCAGUCUAAUUCUUAUCCAGAUUAUAAAAAGAUAUAGAAUUUACUUGAGAUUUUGGAUAAUUCACGUCCUAAUGAUGUAGGAAGGAGGUUAUAAAUUAAAAUUAUUUACCUUGAAGAUAUAUAAAGGAUCUUGGAGUCUCAAACAUAGUCUCAACUAUAAAAAUUAAGAAAUAAGCACCACCCAAAUUUUUUGCUUUUUUAACUUGAUUCAAUUCUUUCCUCACUUCACAACACAUGCUUUAACGAACAUCUUACGUGCUAAGCUUUUUUCUCUUCUUUAAUAAAAGAAUAUUAGAGAUGGAUGGAAGGGGAAGCAAAGAUAUGGAGUAAUAUAUUCUGAAGCUAUUUAUAGAAUCACAAAUCCUAUGGCGAGCCUCUCUACUCCUUCUGGGUAGGGAUAAAAUCUGCGUACGCACUACCCUUCCCAGAUCCCAGUAGUAGAAUUUUACUGGGUUGUUGUUAUUGUUGUAAAUCCUAUGGUGAGUGAUUAAAAAAGAAAAGGCAACUGGAAAUUCCCUUUUUUUAUAUUUCUUUAACUUUAUACUUCGUUGAACUACUAGUCGAAUGUUUUAAAAGGUACCUUAGAUAUUUCUUGACUUCUUAUCUUGAUAAUGAUGUUGCAUAUUUGUAUCACAAAAGAUUGAAUAGAGACUCAGUUGAGCAGAUGUUGAACCAAAUGAGGAGAAGAACUCUAUGGUGUCGGUAGAGAAACAUGAUUAGGAUCUGACUUUAGCCUAUCCGAACACAAGCCUAUGAGUAAAAACAAACUUGCUUUAAGUUUUAGGAAGAUUUUGAAAAGGAUGUUAAGACAUUAGGAAAUAUUCAUCACCAUAACCUUGCCAUUUUUUAAUAUUAUGAACUAAGAACUUCUCAACCAAUAGGUUAGAAAAACACUUAAAUAGACAUUUGGCAUCAAAAGGUAAUUUGAGUACAACUCCAUUUUAGGUAAAAACUCAUAUAAUAGUAAGAAACCGGCAAACCUUUUUUAUGGAUAGGUCUUCUCGGCUAUAUUUUUCUUUCUUUCAGCUAUUUCUUGAUCUUUCAACCCUGAUAUCAACCUUAUUCUGCAAUCAAAAUAAUUAAAUUGAUAAUGAGUACAAGCAACACGAAUGAAUCAGUUGCAAGUACAGCACAUAACAAAUUGAUAUUUUAUUAAAUCAGUAGGGUAAAAGGCAUGCCAUUUUAUUUUCUCCUUUCAAUUUCCAAUCAUUCAUUAUAUGCAAAAA
rnacentral:lncRNA from 1 species